CGCAGUUCGCCCAGGCGGAGCUCGACCGCCCGUUCAGGAAAUGAUCGCCUUCAUCGACGAGCAGCGCACCGUCCACGAGGUCCAGCCGAUCCGCGAGGUUCUGCCGAUCGUCCCG
rfam:Skermanella stibiiresistens SB22 contig65, whole genome shotgun sequence.